UACAGAGGGUGCGAGCGUUAAUCGGAAUUACUGGGCGUAAAGCGCGCGUAGGCGGCUUUGCAAGUCGGGUGUGAAAUCCCCGGGCUCAACCCGGGAACUGCGUCCGAUACUGGCAGGCUUGAAUCCGGGAGAGGGAUGCGGAAUUCCAGGUGUAGCGGUGAAAUGCGUAGAUAUCUGGAGGAACACCGGUGGCGAAGGCGGCAUCCUGGACCGGCAUUGACGCUGAGGCGCGAAAGCCAGGGGAGCAAACGGG
rnacentral:rRNA from 1 species